GCAGUGGUGUCCCAUACCGCUACUGGGUUUGUUUGUAUAUUCACACAACGAUGGUACCACUAUCACGUGUUCAACGAAUUCUCUUCUUAAUGUCUGUGAUGCUUGGACAACGUUGACUUUUGAUUACACAAAGUGUCCAACAGUUCAAGCCUUCUCAAGCGAAGGUAUUGUUUACUGUAUCGAUACGGUCAAGAAAGGUUCCACGUAUUACACCUCUGUGAUCAAUCCAGGAUCUGUAAACAACAUAACCACCAAGAGAUUUACCUGCUUAUCUUUUAGUGAAUCCGGAGAUAUUCUGUAUAUGAGUGACAACGCAGGAGGCUGCUCGAAAGAUCAGAUACCAACAGUUAAACAAAUGGAAGGCAGUGGCACAUUAAUAUUAACAA